CUCAAAACACCCUUUAGGUGUUUCUCUCUGCCGCGUUUGCUACUUUCCAAUUUUCCUAGCUAAAUAGUUCUCUUUUAAAAAUCUCAAAUUCUUCUUGCAUUCCUGUGCUCCACUGAUCUGAAACUGUCAUGCUCUUUCUUUUUCAUUAACCCAUUUCAUUAUUCCACUUCACUUUGUUCUAAAUUUUCAGAUUUCCAUCUGGGCUUUUAUCUUCCCCUGUUUUUAUUUUGUGGGUUUUGCAGACAAGGUAAAUCUGUUUGUUUCAUUGUAAAAGUUGUUUACAACAUUAAUUUUCCUGAGAAACCUUUUCUAUGAGCAGUUUUUUUUCCUCCUUUGGAGAUGUAGUGUCGUGUUAAUUGUUUGCAAUUUUUUUAUUUUAGUUUUUCCUUAUUCAGAAGCUGCUGAAUUUGAGAUUAUUUGUUUUAAAGCUAGUGAUUUGAAAGAGUUUUUUUUUUUUAAUUUUAAAUUACAGCCAUGGAUUUGAAAAUUUCAGCUAUUUGCAUUACUUGGUAAUCUGAAGCUUUAUUGGGUUUCUUUAUGGCGAUUUUAGUUCUUUUGGUUGGUGGGUUCAAUUCAGAUUUGGUGGUUAAAUAUAUUUUGUUCUUAAAUUUUAGUUGAUAUAUUGCUUGUAUCUUAUAUUUCAAAGAUUGUAAGUCAAAAUUCCAAUUUUUUUUGUGGUCAUUUUUAAAGAAUUGGCUUCUCAUAUUGAGGAGCUGAUUGAUAGACUUGUGCUCUUGUGUUUUAAUUACUCUUAAUGAUUACUUACAAUGCAUUAUUGUAGGAAUAAAUGUAAUAUUGAACCAGCUAAACUCCUCUGAUUCAAUUUUCAGAGUAGUGAUGCAGUGCUCUCUCAGGUCUAGACCUGUUUGAGCACUGUGAUUGAGGAGCAUUACAAAUCGUUGUAUGCCUAAUGUUUGUUUCAUUUAUUUCUUACUUGUCUACUUGAAACUUUUUUUCUUCGCAUCAAUUCUUAGCUUCAGUUUUUUUCUAUAUUUUUUGUUUUCUGUUUGAACUUUGAAAGAUUUUGAUGUAGUUUAUCGAAGAGUUCGAUUUAUUGACUUUUCUUGAUCUGUUUAUUCUUUCUGCUGAACCGAUGUGUUGGAAAUUUUGGGUACUUAAGAGAUUUAGGCAUUUAGCAGACAUUUUACUUAUCUAACUUGUGUGGUAAUUAGGUGACAAGAUUGAAAAAUUAGUUAGGUAGUUAUUGGGUUUCGGUAUUAUGAAAUAUUAUUAGGUUCAAGUAUCAGUACCCAAAAUUGUGGUUAUCCUGCCCUUGCCAGUUCUUGGUUCAUCUGUAAGAGGCUGCUUGUGGUAGUAGUAGAGUCAUAUAUCUUUCUGUUUAUAUUUGAAUAUAGCCAUGAGUCAACUGAGUGCCAUAUCUAAUAGAUGUGCUUUGGGAGCCUUAGUUUGCUUCAGUGUUGGCAUUUUCUUGAAUUAUAUCAAAUUAAUUGAAUGAGCUCUUUGUCAUAAUCAUUAUAAUUAAUUUGAUGUUUCUCUCUAAAAUUUUUAUGACAUAACAAGUUUAUUCUAAAGAAUCUUGGGUGGCAAAUGGAACAGGAAAAAUCAACUAUACUAGAUUGCGGUCCAAGAACAAUUUGCAGAAGGCACAUAAUAACUGACUCCUACCUCUACGAAUGCUUGUGGGAGGCAUUGCAGCAGCGAAUAAGAAUAGGAUUGAUCAACAUGCAGUUGACACCGUAUAUGGUCUGAAUCUGAAUUCAAGUGUGAGUUUCAGAUAUUUUAUGUGCAAAAAAGUAUUAAGGUGCAAAACUACACCCAAUUUUGUAAACGUCUACUUACAUAUUUGCAUAUACUUAAUAAUAAUCUCGUGUCAACUAAUUAUUCUUUUUUUUAAUUUAAUUGUUUUGUUUUCAA
rnacentral:lncRNA from 1 species